CUCCCUCCACCCGUUCAGAUAGAACCUGAUUCUACAGUGGACAAUAUCAACAGCGUAACAGUCCUCACAAGAGGUGAACCAUCCGCUGCGGAAAAAAUAAUACACACUGUUGAUGCUCCUAACAAUCUACAUGCUACGUCUCCGACCGCAACUGGUGCCACUACUGAACCUUUCCUUGAUCUCACACUCGGGGUGGGAAUAGGAAAUAACAGGGCUGAUCCAGAGCCUCUCAGUGACGGCGGAGACGCCUCGUCUGAAUCUGAAGAUGGUUGUGGUGGGUUUGAUCCCCUAAUUUAAAACAAAUAACCUAAAUUAUAACUAAGUUGCCUAUCUUUUGAUGUGAAAUAUAUGGGCGGGGGAAAAGCUUUUUUUUUUGGUUAUCGUAAACGGAAAGACGGAAAUGACAAUAUGUAAUAUGACCUUGUAAUGUAAAAUAUUAAUGUGAAAUAUGUUUAUGUA